GUUUGCUCCUCCAUCCUUUGGAGGUGUUGGGCUUGGCUUAGUUCCGGGAGUGCCAGCCUGGAUCUGGGGCCCCAUCUGACGGGCCCAGGCAUUACCGGUCUAAGGGCGGGGCAGGGGGUGCUCAGGUCAGUGUACACCCUCCCCGGCUCCCUCAGCCCCAGGACAGCCCAGCCUUGGGACGGAGUCUGCUCAGGAUCCAGGUAUGUGACACCACUCUGGGUCAUCUUUCUUUACGCUUUAUCCCUUUCUCGCUUUCUCUCUCUCCUCACUCUCUUCCUGUCUCUUCUUCUCUUCCUCUCCUUCUCUUCUCUCCCUCCCUCUUCUCUCCUCUGUUUCUCUCUCCCUCAAUCUUCUUCAUUCCCUUCCUGCCUCUUGCUGCCUUCCUAUCUCACCUCUUCCUUUCCUUCCUCCAUCUUCUCCCUUCCUUCCUCUCUCCUUAUCUCUAUUUCUCUCUCCUCUCCCUUCCCUUCCUUUAUCUCUCCAUUCCUCCCUUUCUCCUGUCUGUCUCUCCCUUCCCUCAGUCUCUUUUUCUCCCUUUACUCCUCCAUCCCUCUGUAUCUCUUUUACUUCUAUCACUUUCUCUCCUUUCAGUGUCUCUCUCUCUUCCUUCCAUCCUCCAUUCCUCUCUCUCUCCUCUCUCUCUCCCUUUCAUUUUCUCUUUUCUCCUGUUUCAGCCUUUCUAGUCUUUCUUGUCUCUAUUUUCCUUUAUUCCUUCCAUACUUUCACUUUCUCUGUACUUCUCUCACUUUUAAAAUCUUGCUCUUCUCUAUCUGCCCCUCUUUCUCUUUUCCUUCCUUCCUUCCUAUGUCUCUUUCCCCGCCUGUCUUAUUCUUCUCUUUCUCAUCCCUCUCUUCAUCCCUGUUUUCUCUGCAUUCAUUCCCUCGUCCUUCUUUCCUGUUUUCCUAUCUGAUUUCCCUUCUUUUUCUUUCUCCUCUCUCCUGCCCUCUCUUUAUCUCUGGCACUCUUCCUUUCUCCUCCUUCUCUCCCUCCCUUCUCCAUUCCUCCCUA
ensembl:lncRNA